rnacentral:lncRNA from 1 species
AGUAUUUUGGUCCCUCCCGGAGGAGUUUGUAUAGGGCCUUGUGUUGCAACGUGCGACCAGGAUUGCUCGUGCAAGGGAUUUGGAAAAGGGGGACAAUGUUAUACUCAUCUUGAGAAGACAACAUGUUGUUGUUUUCACCAAUGAAUUUAUUGUAUGAGUUCAAUAAAAAUAAUAAAACGUGCACUUCAGUUUAGCUCUGGAACUUACUUUUUGUAAGAAAUUUGUGUAAGAUCUUUAAAAUACUAUAAACACUAUUAUGAAUAAAUGAAAUUUAAAAUGAAUAUAAUAUUUUUGCAUUGUCUUUUUUUAUAAAAUAUUACUUAAAUAUUUUAAUUAUUUAUGUUUUCAUGUUGAAUAAAAUGGAUGUUUUAAAUUUUCAAAACAUAUGGUUCCCUUGAAAUCACACAAAAAUAUAUUAUACAUGGAUAGUUAGUGAGGUGGAUUUAAAGACACAAGAUAAGAAUUUAUUUGAGUUAUGCAAAUAUUCUAAUUUUAAAUUCUUAAUAAUAGGUAAUCAAGUGUUUGGUUAAAAUUAUGAUUGAUACAGUAUAUCUAAAUUGUGUUUGAAGAAUAAUCCUUAUUCAUAUCCUACUACUGGUGUUUAUUUAAAAAAAAUCUUAGUUUGAUGAUUAGGUAGAUCUUAAAAUCAAAGUUUUAACAAUCCAAAGGGUCACCAAACCGUGAGGGUAUUGAGCCACUCGUUCGUUAGUCGAACCACCGGGUCACAGGUCGAACCGCAUGACUAAACCGAAUAAAAUUGGAAAAGUCAUUUUAAUAAUACUGUCUUUAUCAAAAAAUAUAAAGUUAUUAAACCGGUCGAACAUGUGACUCGGUCUCUAAAAAAUCAUGACACCUACAAAACAUCAAAUUAUAACAAUUUCACAAGUUCAUUAUUUAAAUUCAAAUGCUAAAUAUAAUCAUCACACACAACAAAAUAGUACAAAAUACAAAUACAAAUAAAUUUUGAACAAAGUCUAAUUGGAACAUAAUCUGAUAAAAAAAUAACUGCAAUUUCUUAUAAAUUUAAUUCUAGUGUUGGAAAAUUGUUUCAAAUAUUUAAAAAAAAUCUGUUAUAUAUAUAUAUAUAUAUAUAUAUUAUAUAUAUAUAUAAUUUGCAAUCUCAUUUUGGCUAAAGAAAAAAAGAUAGCAUUUAAACCCGCUGAUUUACGAUUUUGGUCAGUUCUAGUCAGGUUUCAACUGUUUUAAUAGCUUCCUGAUCCAACAAUAAGACCAAAUUGUGAUCCUUUCAAUUUUCUGUUUGACCGGUCAAGCUAGUUCGAUCCUUAAAGCCACUAUUUCAAAUACAAAUGAAUUAUGUCUCUGAUGAUUUGUGUAUUUGGGAGACCCUAGUAAUGCAAACAAGAAUUGAAUUUAUAUGUUUAGAAAAAAAGUAUUAAGAAAAGUAUAAAUAAUGUAAAGAGAAUCUUCAACAAAAGAUUGAUUUACAAGAUAAAGACUCAAACCUUUAAACACUGCAUACGACUGAGAAAAUAAUAGCGUUUUAUGAUAAUUACAUGUACAAGCACUUUACAUUUCGUCACUAGCAUGGUGAGACUUGUAAAUAAAAUGAUUAAAUAUCAUGACCAAUAUAAUUAAUUUAGUGUUGAAAUGUUUGUUGUUAAAUUCUUAAGAAAAAUCUUUGUACUCGCAGUCACCAAUAAAAAUCAAAAUAAAAAACAUUGCAAAUUCAUGACCAAUAUGUUACAAUUAAAGAUAAUAAUAAUAUAUUUAUAAUAUUAUAGAAACUGUUCAAGUGUUAACAAAUAGUUGUGGUUCGGACAUUCGUGUAAAGUUUAUUCAGUUAAUUUUUAAAACAACUCGUAAUUUGACGAGGACUAAAAUAACUCCUACGUAAUUUGACCACCAUUUUUUUGUCAUUUCGUUAAAAUUGAGUAGUAUUUUUAUAUAAAUUUAUUAAUUUUAAUAUUAUAAUAAUCUAUUCAAUUAAAUCUACAUGUUUAAACAUAUAUUACACAUAUUUUAAGUAUUUAUAAUAUCUAUUUAUUAUAUUUAUAAUUAAAUUGACUAUAGGUAUUAAGUCAUUGAUGAAUAAUAUCAUUUUAUAUUCCUUUCAAAAUUCAAUAGAAAAUGAAGAUUAUAUUCAAUAUAUCAAAUUCAUUUUAUUGAACACUUUAUUUAUUUAAAUCUAACUAUCUUUCUUAAUUUAAGAUUCAAUUAAUAAAUUUAUGUAAAGUUAAUAGUCAAAUGAGAUAUUAAAAACUAAUACAGUUUUUAGGCCUAUAUAAUAGAAGUUAUGUUAGUCUUACUCGUUACACAAGAAAAUAAAAUAUAAAUCUAUUUAUUAUAUUUUAAUCAUUAAAAUUGACUAUAGGUAUGAAGUCAUUGAUGAAUAAAUCAUUUUAUGUUCCUUUCAAAAUUCAAUAGAAAAUGAAAAUUAUUUUCAAUAUUAUCAAAUUCAUUUAUUGACCACUUUAUUUUUAAAAUCUAUCUUUCUUACUUUAAGAUUCCAUUAAUAAAUUUAUGUAAAGUUAAUAGUCAAAUGAAGUAUUAUAAAAACUAAUACAGUUUUUAGGCCUAUAUAAUAGAAGUUAUGUUAGUCUUACUCGUUAGCGAAAACAAAAUAUAAAUUGAAAUCUUACAAAAUGGCAUGUCCACACCCAAUCAAUCUUGUUUUUUGAGUGUUUAUGCCUUGUUUUGAUGGUUAGUUCGGGUAAGAAUGAAAUUUUAUUUUUAUUUUUGAGUUUCAAUUUUAAAGUAGAUUUACUAACACCAAAUGUUUUUUAUUGAAACAUAUAUUGCAUCUUUAUAUUCAAAAGAAAGUAAAAAAGACUCGUCUAAAAAUUAUGUGAUUGUUUAACCCUCUAAGAAGUUGAUUUCUUUUUAAACAAGAUAUGUAGAUCAAUAACAAUUCAAUUAUGGUUUAAUCAAUUCUCAAUUCGAAAGAACAUUAGAUUGAGAUUUAUAAUGUAAAUAAUGAAGCAAUGUCAGACACAAACUAAUUUUAAAUUUUGGUUGAUUCAGGAUUGGUUACCAGUAUUUUGGUCCCUCCCGGAGGAGUUUGUAUAGGGCCUUGUGUUGCAACGUGUCGACCAGGAUUGCUUUCGCAAGGAUUUGGAAAAGGGGACAAUGUUAUACCAUCUUGAGAGACAACAUGUUGUUGUUCUCACCAAUGAAUUUUAUUGUAUGAGUUCAAUAAAAAUAAUAAAACGUGCACUUCAGUUUAGCUCUGGAACUUACUUUUUGUAAGAAAUUUGUGUAAAUCUUUAAAAUACUAUAAACACUAUUAUGAAUAAAUGAAAUUUAAAAUGGAA